AUGCGCGGUAAGCGGUACCCUCCCUCGGAGGCCCCCACCCCCAGACGCCCCAGGCCGCCUCCCUACUCCCCCUCAGCAGCCCCAGCGGGGACUUUCCGUCGCGGGGAAGGGGCGGGGACCCGGAGCGAAAGGUGCGGAGGCGGCCUGCAGGGGUGGUUCGGCUUCCCGUUGCCGCCUUGGUCGCUGUACCCAGAGCUGGGAGCCGAGCAGCGCAGCCGCGCGCGCCCGGCAGGGCUGGGCCGGACUCGGGACGCGCGAGAGGGGCCAUGCGGGGAGGCAGGGGCGUCCCUUUCUGGCCGUGGCCGCUGCCCAAGCUGGCGCUGCUGCCUCUGCUGUGGGUGCUUUUCCAGCGGACGCGUCCCCAGGGCAGCGCCGGGCCACUGCAGUGCUACGGAGUUGGACCCUUAGGCGACUUGAACUGCUCGUGGGAGCCACUUGGGGACGUAGGAGCCCCCUCCGAGUUACAUUUCCAGAGCCAAAAGUAGUGAGUACAGGGAGGUGACGUGGGGAAACAGGCUUUGGAGGUGGCUGCUCAAGUCCCAGACUGCCAUGGUUGAAAGAUUCUAGGAGUCAAGCCUGGCCAACAUGGUGAAACCCUGUCUAUACUAAAAACACAAAAAAAAUUACCCGGGGGCGGUGGCGCGCGCCUGUAGUCCCCGAUACUCAGGAGGCUGAGGCAGGAGAGUCGCUUGACCCCGGGAGGCGGAGGUUGCAGUGAGCCCAGAUCUCGCCACUGCACUCCAGCCUGGGGAACAGAGUGAGACUGUCUCAAAAAAAAAAAAAAAAAAAAAAAAAGAUAAGAAAAAAGAAAAGUCCCAGGAGUCUGCCCCCCUCCCCCAAUACUCCUCCACUCCAAAGCCCUUCAGUUCUAGCUUCCCUCGUUUCUCUGCUGUGUCACCCUGGGCAAAUCACUUUCCCUCUUUGAGUCUCCUUUACAUUUCUCUGUUAAAUAGCAAUCAUAGGGCCAGGAGAGGUGGCUUGCACCUGUUAUCCCAGCAUUUUGGGAGGCUGAGGCAGGAGGAUCGCUUGAGCCCAGGAGUUCAAGAGUUCAGAGUUUUAGAGAGCCCGUCUCCCUCCCUCCCUCCCUCCCUUCCUUCCUUCCUUCCCUCCUCCCUCCUUCCUUCCUUCCUUUUUCUGUUUUUUUUUCUUUUUUUUUGAGAUGGAGUUUCGCUCUUGUUGCCCAGGCUGGAGUGCAAUGGUGCGAUUUUGGCUCACUGCAACCUUCACCUCCUGGAUUCAAGCGAUUCUGCUGCCUCAGCCUCCUGAGUAACUGGGAGUACAGGCAUGCACCACUAGACCUGGCUAAUUUUGUAUUUUUAGUAGAGAUGGGGUUUCACCAUGUUGGUCAGGCUGGUCUCGAACUCCUGACCUCGUGAUCUGCCCACCUCGGCCUCCCAAAGUGCUGGGAUUACAGGCGUGAGCUACCGCGGCAGACAUUUUUUUUUUUUUUUUCGAGACGGAGUCUCCCUCUGUCGCCCAGGCUGGAGUGCAGUGGCAUGAUCUCGGCUCGCUGCAAGCUCCACCUCCCGGGUUCACGCCAUUCUCCUGCCUCAGCCUCCUUAGUAGCUGGGACUACAGGCGAUCGCCAUCACGCCCAGCUGAUUUUUUUUUUUUAUUUUUUAGUAGAGACGGGGUUUCACUGUGUUAGCCAGGAUGGUCUUGAUCUCCUGACCUCGUGAUCCACCCGCCUCAGCCUCCCAAAGUGCUAGGAUUACAGGCGUGAGCCACCGCACCCAGCCCAGCCAUUUUUUAUUUUUAAAAAUUUUUUUGAGACAGAGUCUCAUUCUGUCACCCAGGCUAGAGUGCAGUGGCACGAUCUUAGCUCACUGCAACCUCUGCCUCUUGGGUUCAAGUGAUCCUCCCACCUCAGCCUCCCGAGUUGCUGGGAUUACUAUAGCUGGUCUUGAACUCCUAACCUCAAGUAAUCUACGCACCUCAGCCUCCCAAAGUGCUGGGAUUAUAGGCGUGAGCCACAGCGCCUGGCCUAUUUCCCGUUAUUUAUAUUAUAGUUUAUGUUUUUUAAGAGAGGGGCUCUCGGCCAGGCGCGGUCGAGCCAGGUUGGCCACUGCACUCCAGCCUGGCAACAGACUGAGACUCUGUCUCAAAAACAUAAACAUAAAAAUAAAAAGGGAAAUAAUAAUAGAACCUGCCUCUGA
rnacentral:lncRNA from 1 species